AACGCACAUUGCGCCCUUUGGCAUUCCGAAGGGCAUGCCUGUUCGAGCGUCAUUAUCAACCCUCAAGCUUGGCUUGUUGUUGGAUCGUUUGUCAUGGUGACACGCCGAAGAUCCGAAAGACAAUGGCGGUGUCGUGUUGACCCCUCGUGCAAUGAGCUUUACAGCACGCACGGAUGAGGCUCAGCCGGCCCGAUCCUUACUUUUAAUAACUUAAAGUUGACCUCGGAUCAGGUAGGAAUACCCGCUGAACUUAA
rnacentral:misc_RNA from 1 species